CCCGCCGCCUAACGGGUAUAGUGGGCGGGGCUACAUUUUUUAUCCAGGGACCCCGCCGCGGUGCCAGGGGACUGCGAAAUUUUCCAGUGAGGGCCUGGGCAGAGGCGCCAAUGAGAAGGGAAGGUUGUUAGGGCAGCUGACGUGGGUGACGUCUCUGAGCGGCGCCAGCUGAGCGCGGUGGAACCAAGCCGUCCUUCCUUCUCGGAGGCUGGCUUGUUCCCCCGGCGUCUGUGGACCCCGUUUAGCUGUUCCUGGUGAGCGCAGUACACCGGUACCUCCACUGCCUUGGCCAGUAGCCUGAGGACGCCCUCUUUCAGCUCCUGCUUUUCCUCCUCGACAGACACAGAGGACGAGGAAGUGCCCGGCACUUGCGAUAAUGCUUCCCUAUGCAGAGGCCUGGGGACAGCGUGACUGGGAAUCCGGCCUGAACCAGGCAGACGGGGUCUUGGCCUCCUUGAGGCUAAAGUCUUUAUGGAAGACCGAGGAGAAGCAAGUUCCUGGAGACUAAGCAUAGUGAUUUAAAGCAUGGAGUCCAGAGCCAAGCUGAUCGUAGCUCUGCCCCUUAUGAGCUGUGUUCCUAAACCAUUCUGCAUCUCAGUUUCCUGAUUGAGAAUUGGGGAUGAUAAUAAUCCCACUUCAUAGAUCGUUGUAAAGAUUAAAUGAUACUUAACAUUAAUAAAACAAGUAGAACCAUGUCUGACAUGUAGUGGGUGUUAGUGGUGGUUGAUUCAAGAAAUAGAUAAAUACGUACAUAAGUAUUGAAGACUUGGAGGCAGUGUGUGGUGAAAUGUCUGAACUUAAAUGGCUUCUACCCAACUUC